rnacentral:tRNA from 1 species
UUUUGAUAAGGGCGGGAUCGUAGCCCGCCUGUGCAGGGCUACAACCUGCCGCCUACCUCGGCCACCU